GUUAGAUUUGAAAGACCCCAGCUUAACAGCAGUAACGCCAUUUUGCAAGGCUGUACUUAAGAUGACUGGUUCAGGGAAAGGUUAGAACACUGAGUACACAGCGGCUGCCAAGCAAGAUAUGUUUGGUUGAAGGCCUGGCAACAGGACGACUUCGGUUGAGCACCUGACAAUGAAAAAAAGCCCCAGGAGAGGUCCCACACCCUGGUGGGGGGCCGAGUCAGUCGUUAUGUUCCAAGAAGGUAGCUAAGAAACUUGCCCCCGGGCUGAACCCUUGGGGGGCCGAGUCAGCCGUUAUGUUUCAGGAAGGUAGCUAGGAAACUUGCCCCCGGGCUAAACCCUUGCCAUAUUAGAAUCCACCAAUUAUAUCCCUGUAACCAUGCAUCUGCUUCUGUAUGCUUGCUUCUGCUCCCCAAAAUCCUAUAAAAGCCCAUCCUUGGUUCCGUGGGGCGCGCCAGUCCCCCGAGUGACUGAAGCGCCCGCAGGUGCCUGUGCCUGUGUAUCCCGACAAUAAACCAAAUCCUCUUGCUGAUUGCAUCCUGUGGUGUCUCGGUCUGGUCUUUGGAGUUAGAGGGUCUCCAUCCCGAGGGAAAGUUCUCCCUGAGAGCUUUUCAUUUGGUGCAUUGGCCGGGAAAGGAGAUCCUCCACCCAGGGACCACCGACCACCCACUGGGAGGUAAGCCGGCCGGCGUCUGUCUGUAUGUCUGAUUUUGUCUCGUUCUGCCUUAUUCUGUCUGUUCUGUGAGCGCUCAGCCAGGUCUGUUCUGUGAGCGCUCAGCCAGGUCUGUUCUGUGAGCGCUCAGCCAGGUUGUUUGGAAUUUGGGCGGGACGAAGAAGGAGCUGACGAGCUCGGACUUCUUGCCCCGCAGCCCUGGAAGACGUUCCAAGGGUGUUGGGGCCCGACUUUUCGGGGCCCAAUCUGGGAGAGGAGAAAGAUCCGGACUAACGGCACCUCUGUCUGUAUUUUUGGCUUUCAGAGGGCCCCGGACUUUUGCCACCUCCAUCUGACUUUUUGCUUUCAGUUUGGUACCAAAGCCGUGCAGCACGCCUGUCUGUUGUUUGUUUGACUGUUGGUGUUGUUUGUUUUCUCUGUGUUCUAAUCUUCCUUAGAACUAACAUGGGACAGUCCCUAACAACGCCCCUAAGUCUCACUCUUGAUCAUUAGAAAGACGUCCACGACCGGGCACACAACCAGUCCGUUGAGGUUAAAAAAAAAAAAGGAAAAGGGCAGACUCUCUACACAUCCGAGUGGCCCACUUUCGGAGCGGGAUGGCCAGUGAAUGACACAUUUAAUAAGAUCAUUAUUUUACAGGUUAAAGAUCGGGCCGUCCACGGACAUCCUGACCAGGUUUCUUAUAUUAUCACUUGAGAGAGUCUCGCCUUAAACCCCCCCGCCCCGGGCGGAACCCUUCGUGGACCCGAAUUGGCCUCCCCUCAACCCCCAGCCUGUCCCCUCGGCCCCGCCCGGUCUGCCGGCCACGUCUUAAGAAACCUGUCCUCCCGGCAGACCCAAACUCCCCUCUCAUAGAUCUUCUCUCUGACAGGCCCGGCUGAAGUGGAGGAGGCAGAGCCGCCGGCCAGAUCAGUUGCCGGGCCACAGUCUGAUAAGGGUUUCUCCCCUGUCGCAGGGAGAUUGCGCAAUAAGCGAGAGGUGAUGCCAGAUUUCAACCUCCCAGGCUUUCCCACCUAGACAGGGAACCGGUGGCCAGACCCAAUACUGGCCGUUUUCAGCAGCUGACAUUUACAAUUAGAAACAACACAACCCUUCUUUCUCCAAAGAUCCGGUGGCACUCACCGACCUAAUAGAAUCUGUUUUACUUACCCACCAGCCUACUUGGGAUGACUGCCAACAGCUCUUACAGGCCCUCUUAACCUCAAGAAAAAAAAAAAAAAACAAGGAGUGUUCCUAGAGGCCAGAAAGCAUGUUCUGGGAGAUGAUGGGCGUCCCACCCAGCUGCCUGAGAAAAUUGAUGCUACAUUCCCACUUAAGAGACCAAACUGGGAUUUUAAUACAGCUGAAGGUAAGGGACACCUACGCCUUUAUCACCAGUUGCUUCUAGCGGGUCUCCGAGGGGCUAUACGACGCCCUACUAAUUUGGCUCAGGUAAAACAGGUAUUACAGGAAGCAGGGGAAACUCCCUCCGCCUUUCUAGAGAGACUUAAGGAGGCCUACCGUAUGUACACUCCCUAUGACCCAGAUGACCCAAGACAAAUGACGAGUGUCUCUAUGUCCUUCAUCUGGCAGGCUGCUCCAGAUAUCAGGACUAAGUUACAGAGGUUAGAAAAUUUGCAGGGCUAUACAUUACAGGAUUUACUUAAAGAAGCUAAAAAGAUUUUUAAUAAGAGAGAGAAUUGAGUCGAAUCUUGGCCGCCGUAGUUCAGGGCCAAAAAAGGAAGGGAGAUGGGGGGGAGCUCGAAAGGGGCUAAAGCUAGAUAAAGAUCAAUGUGCCUAUUACAAAGAGAAAGGGCACUGGGCCAGAGAGUGCCCCAAGAAGCCUGGCGGACCCCGAAAGCCUCGACCACAAACCUCCCUCUUGAAGAUUAGGGAGGUCAGGGCCAGGAGCCCCCCCUGAGCCCAGGGUAACGCUUAAAGUUGGGGGGCAGCCGGUUACUUUCCUGGUAGACACAGGAGCCCAGCAUUCAGUCCUCACCCAAGCUUCAGGACAACUCAGCGACCGGACGGCCUGGGUACAAAGAGCUACUGGUGAGAAACAAUACCGAUGGACUACAGACCGCCGGGUUCAGCUGGCUACCGGUAAGGUGACCCAUUCCUUCUUACAUGUUCCGGACUGCCCGUACCCUCUGCUGGGCCGUGAUCUGCUCACCAAACUAAAAGCACAAAUUCAUUUUGAGGAAGGAGGGGCCCAAAUAACUGGCCCCCACGGAACUCCCCUUCAAGUUCUAACCCUAUAAACCAGGAUAGGACACUGGCUUGGACAGAGACUGGUGAGAUGGGGUUGGCACUCCAACAGCCCCCCUUAACUACAACUCCAGUCUCCAUAAAACAAUACCCCCUGUCACAUGAAGCUUAUCAAGGUAUAAGGCCUCACAUUACGAGGCUUCUAGAUCAAGGCAUCCUAAUCCCCUGCCGGUCGCCUUAGAAUACGCCUCUUCUGCCUGUUAAGAAACCCGGCACUGGAGAUUAUAGGCCAGUACAAGACUUGAGAAAGGUCAACAAGAGGAUAGAAGAUAUUCAUCUGACUGUUCCAAACCCUUACAAUUUGCUCCUGACUUUAGGGUUCAACAUCCCACCCUCAUACUCCUGCAAACCUUUUGAACUGUUCAUCGAUGAGAAACAGGGGUAUGCUAAAGGGGUCCUAACACAAAGGUUGGGACUCUGAAAACGCCCUGUGGCCUACCUGUCUAAGAAAUUGGACCCUGUGGCCUCCGGCUGGCCACCGUGCCUAAGGAUGGUGGCUGCUAUUGUUGUCCUGAUCAAGGAUGCUGGAAAAUUGACUUUGGGACAGCCACUCACCAUCCUAGCUCCCCAUGCAGUGGAGGCCUUGGUAAAGCAGCCCCCAGACCGCUGGCUCUCUAAUUCUCGCACCAAGCCUUGUUACUGGAUGCAGAACAGGUUCAGUUUGGGCCCGUAGUCGCCCUCAAUCCUGCCACCUUGCUUCCUCUACCAGAGGAGGCAGAACAGCAUGACUGACUACAAAUCCUCGCAGAAGUACAUGGAACCAGGCUGGACCUAUCGGACCAGCCUCUUCAGAAUGCUGACCACACAUGGUACACGGAUGGAAACAGCUUCUUGGCAGAGGGAGAGCGAAAGGCUGGAGCUGCAGUCACUACGGAGGACAAAGUGAUUUGGGCGAAAGCCCUGCCUGCUGGUACCUCCGCACAACGGGCUGAACUCAUCGCCUUGACUCAGGCGCUCAAGAUGACAAAAGGUAAGAGGCUAAAUAUAUAUACAGACAGCCGUUAUGCCUUUGCCACGGCACACAUCCACGGGGAGAUCUACCGGAGGCGGGGGCUGCUCACAUCUGAGGGUAAAGAUAUGGCUAAAAUUCUGGCCCUCUUAGAAGCCCUAUUCUUGCCCAAAAGACUGAGUAUUAUACAUUGUCCAGGACACCAAAAAGGGCACAACCCAGAGGCACGAAGAAACCGCCUGGCCGAUGCCACGGCGCGAGAAGCGGCCAUGAGCAAACAAAUCUUGCCCUUAAAUAGCCCAGACCAACCCACGCCCCCACCAGUGGGACAAACUAGUUGGGUUUAUGCCCAUGAGGACAUAGAGCUCCUAAAAAAAUGGGGGCCAUCUACCACCCUCAACUAAAACAGUGGGUCUACAAAGGACUUUUGAAUUGAUCUCCUUUUUACAUAAGAAGAUAAAAACCUUACUAGAUCGAGAAGAGAUAAAUCUGUGUUUUUUUUUUAAUUGGGACAAAGCGAUACAAAAGGUGACUGAGAAUUACAAAGCGUGCGCUCAGGUUAACCCGGAAAGGACCAUGAUUGGACAAGGAGUUCGUCCUAGGGGACACCGUCCCGACAUCCAUUGAGAAAUUGAUUUUACUGAAAUUAAACCAGGUAUAUAUGGAUACAAGUAUCUCCUAGUGUUUGUAGACACCUUCUCAGGAUGGGUCGAAGCCUUCCCCACAAAACACGAGACUACAAAAAUGGUCACCAAGAAGCUCCUCGAGGAAAUCUUUCCCAGGUAUGACAUGCCUCAAGCGUUGGGGUCGGACAACGGGCCCGCUUUCGUCUCCCAAGUAAGUCAGUUGGUGGCCAAAUUGCUGGGGAUUGAUUGGAAAUUACAUUGUGCCUAUAGACCCCAGAGUUCAGGUCAGGUAGAACGCAUGAAUAGAACAAUUAAGGAGACUUUAUCCAAACUUACGCUUACAACUGGCUCAAAGGAUUGGGUGGCCCUCCUUCCCCUAGUUCUAUAUCGGGCCCGGAAUACCCCGGGCCCCCAUGGUCUAACUCCUUUUAAAAUAAUAUAUGGAACACCACCCCCAUUUGUCCAUUUCUUUGAUUCAAACAUUGCUGAUUUUGCUGACAGCCCUUCUCUGAGGGCCCAUUUACAGGCCCUACAGAUUGUGCAGAGAGAUGUCUGGAGACCUUUGGCCACUGCUUACCAGGACAAGCUUGAGCAUCCGGUGGUGCCACACCCGUUCCAGAUUGGAGACACCGUGUGGGUGCACAGACACCAGACCAAGAAUCUCGAGCCACGGUGAAAAGGACCCUACACCGUCCUCCUGACUACCCCGACCGCCCUAAAGGUAGACGGAGUCUCGGCUUAGAUCCACACACCACACGUCAAGGCAGUCCGGUCUGAGGAAUUGACUAAUAACAACACUACACCCCAGACAUGGAGAGUUCAGCGCACUCCAAACCCCUUAAAGUUAAAACUCCUACGUGGCUCCUCCUAGCCCUUUUGUGGCCUAGAGUCAGUGAGGGAAUAAGCCCCCACCAGACAGAAAUUUCUUGACCAAGUCGAGUGAAAGAUUUCACUCAAAGUUAGCAAAAAAAAUGGGGGAAUGAAAGACCCCAGCUUAACAGCAGUAACGCCAUUUUGCAAGGCUGUACUUAAGAUGACUGGUUCAGGGAAAGGUUAGAACACUGAGUACACAGCGGCUGCCAAGCAAGAUAUGUUUGGUUGAAGGCCUGGCAACAGGACGACUUCGGUUGAGCACCUGACAAUGAAAAAAAGCCCCAGGAGAGGUCCCACACCCUGGUGGGGGGCCGAGUCAGUCGUUAUGUUCCAAGAAGGUAGCUAAGAAACUUGCCCCCGGGCUGAACCCUUGGGGGGCCGAGUCAGCCGUUAUGUUUCAGGAAGGUAGCUAGGAAACUUGCCCCCGGGCUAAACCCUUGCCAUAUUAGAAUCCACCAAUUAUAUCCCUGUAACCAUGCAUCUGCUUCUGUAUGCUUGCUUCUGCUCCCCAAAAUCCUAUAAAAGCCCAUCCUUGGUUCCGUGGGGCGCGCCAGUCCCCCGAGUGACUGAAGCGCCCGCAGGUGCCUGUGCCUGUGUAUCCCGACAAUAAACCAAAUCCUCUUGCUGAUUGCA